UGGAUACACACACACACACAAACACACUGAACACACACACACUGACACACAUAAACACUGAAACACACAAUUGACAAACACACACUGGACACUCACACGUGUUAAAUCAGUUUCUGGACCACAGGUUCUAGAACAGCUUCUAUCCCAGUUCUACCUGCCUGUUAAAUCAGUUUCUGGACCACAGGUUCUAGAACAGCUUCUAUCCCAGUUCUACCUGCCUGUUAAAUCAGUUUCUGGACCACAGGUUCUAGAACAGCUUCUAUCCCAGUUCUAUCUGUCUGUUAAAUCAGUUUCUGGACCACAGGUUCUAGAACAGCUUCUAUCCCAGUUCUAUCUGCCUGUUAAAUCAGUUUCUGGACCACAGGUUCUAGAACAGCUUCUAUCCCAGUUCUAUCUGCCUGUUAAAUCAGUUUCUGGACCACAGGUUCUAGAACAGCUUCUAUCCCAGUUCUAUCUGCCUGUUAAAUCAGUUUCUGGACCACAGGUUCUAGAACAGCUUCUAUCCCAGUUCUAUCUGCCUGUUAAAUCAGUUUCUGGACCACAGGUUCUAGAACAGCUUCUAUCCCAGUUCUAUCUGCCUGUUAAAUCAGUUUCUGGACCACAGGUUCUAGAACAGCUUCUAUCCCAGUUCUAUCUGUCUGUUAAAUCAGUUUCUGGACCACAGGUUCUAGAACAGCUUCUAUCCCAGUUCUAUCUGCCUGUUAAAUCAUCAACCUAAACUGUUGUCAUCAGACUAUUACAACAUGACUGAACUUUUGGUUCCUUUUCUGAUCUUUUACCACUUUGCAUUUUUUAUGAUAUAUUUUACUGUUUGUGUUUGUACCACAGGAGGUUGGUGGGACCUUAUUUAGGGAGGACAGGCUUGUAAUGGCUGGAGUGGAAUAAGUGGAAUGGUAUCAAACACGUUUCCAUGUGUUCCAUUUCAUUCACUCUGUUCCAGACAUUAUUAUGAGCCGUCCUCCCCUCAGCAGCCUCCUCUGGUAUGUACUGUCCUGUAUGUGACAGAGAUCCAAC
rnacentral:lncRNA from 1 species